ACCCGAAACCAGGUGAUCUACCCAUGUCCAGGAUGAAGGUAAGGUAAUACUUACUGGAGGUCCGAACCCACGCACGUUGAAAAGUGCGGGGAUGAGGUGUGGGUAGCGGAGAAAUUCCAAUCGAACUUGGAGAUAGCUGGUUCUCUCCGAAAUAGCUUUAGGGCUAGCCUCGAGGUAAAGAGUCAUGGAGGUAGAGCACUGUUUGGACUAGGGGCCCUUCUCGGGUUACCGAAUUCAGAUAAACUCCGAAUGCCAUGUACUUAUACUCGGGAGUCAGACUGCGAGUGAUAAGAUCCGUAGUCGAAAGGGAAACAGCCCAGACCACCAGUUAAGGUCCCCAAAUAUAUGUUAAGUGGAAAAGGAUGUGGGGUUGCUUAGACAACCAGGAUGUUGGCUUAGAAGCAGCCACCAUUGAAAGAGUGCGUAAUAGCUCACUGGUCGAGUGACCCCGCGCCGAAAAUGUACCGGGGCUAAACAUAUUACCGAAACUGUGGAUGAACCUCUUUAGAGGUUCGUGGUAGGAGAGCGUUCUAAGGGCGGUGAAGUCAGACCGGAAGGACUGGUGGAGCGCUUAGAAGUGAGAAUGCCGGUAUGAGUAGCGAAAGAAGGGUGAGAAUCCCUUCCACCGAAUAUCUAAGGUUUCCUGAGGAAGGCUCGUCCGCUCAGGGUUAGUCGGGACCUAAGCCGAGGCCGAUAGGCGUAGGCGAUGGACAACAGGUAGAGAUUCCUGUACCAGUGCUAAUUGUUUAACCGAUGGGGUGACACAGAAGGAUAGGGAAUCGCACGAAUGGAAAUGUGCGUCCAAGCAGUGAGUGUGAGAAGUAGGCAAAUCCGCUUCUCGCGAAGCAUGAGCUGUGAUGGGGAAGGAAAUUAAGUACGGAAGUUCCUGAUUUCACGCUGUCAAGAAAAGCCUCUAGGAAGAGUAGUACUGCCCGUACCGCAAACCGACACAGGUAGAUGAGGAGAGAAUCCUAAGGUGAGCGAGAGAACUCUCGUUAAGGAACUCGGCAAAAUGACCCCGUAACUUCGGGAGAAGGGGUGCUCUAUUAGGGUGCAAGCCCGAGAGAGCCGCAGUGAAUAGGCCCAGGCGACUGUUUAGCAAAAACACAGGUCUCUGCAAAACCGUAAGGUGACGUAUAGGGGCUGACGCCUGCCCGGUGCUGGAAGGUUAAGAGGAGUGCUUAGCUUCGGCGAAGGUACGAAUUGAAGCCCCAGUAAACGGCGGCCGUAACUAUAACGGUCCUAAGGUAGCGAAAUUCCUUGUCGGGUAAGUUCCGACCCGCACGAAAGGCGCAACGAUCUGGGCACUGUCUCAACGAGAGACUCGGUGAAAUUAUAGUACCUGUGAAGAUGCAGGUUACCCGCGACAGGACGGAAAGACCCCGUGGAGCUUUACUGCAACCUGAUAUGGAAUGUUUGUACCGCUUGUACAGGAUAGGUAGGAGCCGAAGAGACGUGUGCGCUAGCAUACGAGGAGGCAAUGGUGGGAUACUACCCUGGCUGUAUGACCAUUCUAACCCGCCACGCUUAGCGCGUGGGGAGACAGUGUCAGGUGGGCAGUUUGACUGGGGCGGUCGCCUCCUAAAGAGUAACGGAGGCGCCCAAAGGUUCCCUCAGAAUGGAUGGAAAUCAUUCGCAGAGUGUAAAGGCACAAGGGAGCUUGACUGCGAGACUGACAAGUCGAGCAGGGACGAAAGUCGGGCUUAGUGAUCCGGUGGUUCCGCAUGGAAGGGCCAUCGCUCAACGGAUAAAAGCUACCCCGGGGAUAACAGGCUUAUCUCCCCCAAGAGUCCACAUCGACGGGGAGGUUUGGCACCUCGAUGUCGGCUCGUCGCAUCCUGGGGCUGUAGUCGGUCCCAAGGGUUGGGCUGUUCGCCCAUUAAAGCGGCACGCGAGCUGGGUUCAGAACGUCGUGAGACAGUUCGGUCCCUAUCCGUCGCGGGCGCAGGAAAUUUGAGAGGAGCUGUCCUUAGUACGAGAGGACCGGGAUGGACACACCGCUGGUGUACCAGUUGUUCCGCCAGGAGCAUCGCUGGGUAGCUAUGUGUGGCAGGGAUAAACGCUGAAAGCAUCUAAGCGUGAAGCCCCCCUCAAGAUGAGAUUUCCCAUUUCUUCGGAAAGUAAGAUCCCUGAAAGAUGAUCAGGUAGAUAGGUUUGGAGUGGAAGUGUAGCGAUACAUGGAGCGGACAAAUACUAAUCGAUCGAGGACUUAACCAAAA
rnacentral:rRNA from 1 species